AUGAACUCUAGACUUUAAAGAAAUGAGGCAAAGAGAGAGGUAUUUGGGGAGUCUUUAAUGGUGGUUGCCCUCUCUCUUUUUGCCCAUGACUUCCUUUUUCAUAACAAUAAACCGCCAUUUAUCUUAAGGCUUUGUUUGCUUAAGCUGUUGUUCUGAAACAUACACACACACAUACAUAUCUAUAUAUAAUAUAAAAGCAGGCAGGUUGAAGGGUUUAGGUUUUAAGAUCUAACCCUUUUUGCUUCAUCAUCUCGUCGUAUUCAUCAUCAUCAUCAACACAACAACAUUAUGGCUAUUAUUGUAAAGGAUGAGAGAGGCUGUGAUGAUAUUAAAUAAUUGUCUAGAGUUCAUUAUUGGGCAAAUGGAGCGGGGGCCCGUAUCUUGGCGGGGCGACCCGGGUAAGGCCUACUUUGUUGUUGGUAGUGCAAACCGAGGGUCUGCAGCCAUGGCGUGUGCAUUGUCUCUUUUGCCCCUCAUUUUACACAUCUGAGCCUCAAAAUAUCCUAAAACAAAAAGGGAAUUAUCUAAAACUUGUAAAAAGCACUAAUUUAAGGCUACUAUUUAAAAUUAGUGAAGUUAUAUUUUGCUGACUCUUCUGUUUAGAGAUUUGUUGCACAGUUAAUUAUUGAAGUAAUUAUAUUUACAAAUAUGGAGUACCUUUUUUUUUUCCAGUCACUUAGAUGAUUACAUAAUAAACAAAAUUUUUUUUACGUACUAUUUACUUUUACUAAUUGCAAAAUUUCCUAUAAUGAAGUUAUAUUUGCUUUCGUUUUAGUUUGCUGACUCGUGUUUAGAGAUUUCUGUACAGGUGUUUUUCAUCAGUACAAGCUAAAGCUCAACUGGCUCUCUUUAAGAUGCUUCUAUCAAACAGAACUACACAGUUCUUGACAAUGUUCAAUGGUUUGAUGUUGAGGCAAGCAAUGGACCAAAAUGGCGAAAGAAUGGAACUCAUUUUCUUAUUGAGAUUUAGCGUGUGAUGGUUUUAAGGUUGCGACCAAGGUUUCCAAGAAGGAUUACAUUUGUAGAUAUGCUUGAUCGAGGUAGCUUAUACUGUCUGAAGAAUAGUGACCAAGCUCAAAAAGGAUUCUUACAAUGGGAAGCAUAAGUUUGCAAGCGAUGUGAAAAAUAGCUUGAGCGAUAUGAAGCUUUUCGAUUAACCUAAGGAAAUUUUUGUGGUGGUAUCAUGCAUGAAGCUCUUUAGAAUGGAAUGUUGAAUCAAGCUUCUACUUUGCUGUAGAUUGUAGAAAGUAUUGCUCUACGACUUAUGUUUUCUAGAGAUGUUCAUGAGCAGAAAACCUUUUCCUUUUCUUGUUUUUAUUAUAUGGCAAACAGCUGAAUUGCUUACAUACUUCUAUGCUAGUCCAAAGCAUGAGAAAUACACUAGAGAUAUAUGGUGUUCAUAUUUGUUAGCCGCAGCACCUUUUUUUAUCAGCUUUAAGACAUCAGUAUUGCUAUAAUGGUUUAUAUAUUUGUAAUUUGGAAGUCAGCAUCCUUGAUAUGACUAUUGUUCUUUGCAUUUUGUUUCUAUAAUAAUUGUCAUUUCAAUUCAA